rnacentral:lncRNA from 1 species
GGAACAUCAAUGGUGCCAAGUGCCAUUUAAAAAUCUUUUCAUCUUCCUGUGUGUUGCUUCUAGAGAGGAAAUGUUCUAAGAUGUGGUUUCCAGUCUUGUAGAAAAAUGGCAUUUUCAGGCUGUGUGGGACUCUUACAUCAUCUAGUUUCAAUCACCUCAUUUUGCAGAUCAAGAAACUGAGAGUGAGAAACAAGGGACUGGCCAGAGUUACUCAGCUAGACAGUGUCAGACAACAGUGGAACUUGUGAUUGGCAAACACACUGCCUAUUUACAGCAUAGAGACCCCAGUGGAGAGCUAGGUGGGUGAUGAUUCAUGCUAAAUCUUUCCCACAAUAUGCUGAACACUACAACUGCAGCUAAUGUGAAGGGACUCAUUAUACACUGUCAAAUCUGAUAACAGCAACGACUGGCUUUGCUAACACGAGCAAUUUGUGGGAAGUCCAGCUACUGCAAACCAUUACUGAAUUUCAAAAAAUAAGCUGCAAUAUAGUAGAAAAGACAUAUCCAUUGAGUCAUAUUUGCAAAUUUCUUGUGUUUCUCUUUGCCAGUUUAGAAACAGCCUCAUGUUUCCUGCUUGACUCCAGAGAUGACUUUCCUUGGGAUUCACUUAUCUUACUGUUUGAAAUCCAGAAGGAC